rnacentral:lncRNA from 1 species
UAGCGUGUUUUCACACCCGGCGAGCGCUUCAGCAGAGAUGUGAUAAGCAGGAGAAGCCAGAAAGCAUUUGCUAGGUGGAAUUUAGAGACGCUGUGCACUAGAGAUCAGCAGCGCCUUCGAGACCGUUCUUAGAGGUCCUGGCAAGCAAACUUUAUCCCAGUGCUUCGAAAGGUAUGGCCAGGCUGGGAGCCCUUAACGUCGCGCCACCGAGGACGUGCGUCAGCGCCGGCCGUGCUGAGGCACAGCGGCGCUCAAAUCGUGAGUCUGAUUGUUUUUCUGUUGGCCAGAUCCUUGUGAAAUGUCUCAUUGCAAGAAGAAACGGAGAAGAUCUUGUGGUUGCUAGAAGUGGUUGGUUUUGCGCUGACAGAAGCGCUGCUCGCAGCCUGCUCACGGCGCCGUUCGAUUCCCGCAGCUCGCUGUGCUGGGAAUUGCAGCUCCUGCAGAGCAUCUCUGUUCCUCGUGUGCGCCGGUGCCUGCGGAGGCU